rnacentral:tRNA from 1 species
UACUAUUUAGUUUAAUUAAAAAUAUUGGUUUGUCAAAUCAAAGUUAAUAUAUUUUAUUAUUAGUAA